rfam:Triticum urartu cultivar G1812 contig62879, whole genome shotgun sequence.
AAAGUACUCCCUCCGUUUCAAAUUAUUUGUCGCAGGUAUGGAUGUAUCUAGAUUAUUUUUGUUCUAGAUACAUCCAUUUCUGCGACGAGUAAUUUGGAACAGAGGGAGUAGUAU